rnacentral:rRNA from 1 species
UUAAGUAAGGAAGGGCGUACGGCGAAUGCCUGGCCACUCGAAACUGAAGAAGGACGCGCCAAACUGCGAAAAGCUCCGUGAAGCUGUAAGGAAGCGAAGAAGCGGAGGUGUCCGAAUGGGGGAACCCGGCAGCAGACAUGAGCUGUCAUCUGCAGGUGAAUACAUGGCCUGCAAGAGAGGUACCCGGCGAACUGAAACAUCUAAGUAGCCGGAGGAAAAGAAAACAACAGUGAUUCCCUGAGUAGCGGCGAGCGAAAGGGGAGAAGCCCAAACCGGUCCAAGGACCGGGGUUGAAGGACCAUGAUAUGGCAAGAGAGAGGAUAGAAGAACGGGAUCGAAAGCCCGGCCGAAGAAGGUGCAAGCCCUGUAUUUGAAAUCUGAUUGAAGCCUAAUGGGAUCCUGAGUACGGCGAGACACGAGGAAUCUUGUCGGAAGCAGGCGGGACCAUCCGCCAAGGCUAAAUAUAAACGAGUGAGCGAUAGUGAACCAGUACCGUGAGGGAAAGGUGAAAAGAACCGCGGGAGCGGAGUGAAAGAGAACCUGAAACCGUAUGCCUACAAGAAGUCAGAGCCCGUUAAGGGGUGAUGGCGUGCCUUUUGUAGAAUGAACCGGCGAGUUGCGACAGACUGCGAGGUUAAGGAGGAAAGACCGGAGCCGAAGCGAAAGCGAGUCUUAAGAGGGCGAAAGUAGGAUGUUGCAGACCCGAAACCGGGUGAUCUAGCCAUGAGCAGGUUGAAGUUGAGGUGAAACUCAAUGGAGGACCGAACCGACUACCGUUGAAAAGUUAGCGGAUGACUUGUGGCUAGGGGAGAAAUUCCAAUCGAACCCGGAGAUAGCUGGUUCUCCCCGAAAUAGCUUUAGGGCUAGCGUCGGAAAGAACCUUAGUGAAGGUAGAGCACUGAAUGUGUGAUGGCCCCAUCCCGGGGUACUGAAUACAAUCAAACUGCGAAUGUCAUUAAGGAUGUCCGGCAGUCAGACUGUGAGUGAUAAGGUCCAUGGUCAAGAGGGAAACAGCCCAGACCGCCAGUUAAGGUCCCAAAAUACAGGCUAAGUGGAAAAGGAUGUGGGGAUGCCCAGACAACUAGGAGGUUGGCUCAGAAGCAGCCAUCCUUUAAAGAGUGCGUAACAGCUCACUAGUCGAGUGACCCUGCGCCGAAAAUGUACCGGGGCUAAGCCUGAUACCGAAACUGCGGAUUGUAGGAAACUAUAGUGGUAGGGGAGCGUUGUAUACGAGUAGAAGCCGUACCGUGAGGAGCGGUGGAUUGUAUAGAAGUGAGAAUGCCGGUGUGAGUAGCGAGAUGUAGGUGAGAAUCCUACACACCGAAAGCCCAAGGAUUCCAGGGGAAGGUUCGUCCGCCCUGGGUAAGUCGGGACCUAACGCGAGGCCGAAAGGCGUAGUGGAUGGAAAGCAGGCGAAAGAUUCCUGCACCCGUAUAUGGAGCGAAGGAGUGACGGAGACGGAUAGUGUGACCCUCUUAAUGGAUUGAGGGCGAAGCGAAGCGGCUGGUUACCAGGCAAAUCCGGUAACUGAAAGGCUAGAGCGUGACAGGUAAGCGAAAUCUUAGGAAAGUAGCGAAGCACAUGAUGACGGCUUCCAGGAAAAGCUUCUGGCAAUGCAUAUGCGGCCCGUACCAAAACCGACACAGGUGGGCAGGGAGAGAAUCCCGAGGUGAGCGAGAGAACUGUUGCCAAGGAACUCGGCAAAAUGACUCCGUAAGUUAGCGAGAAGGAGUGCUUAAGCAAUUAAGCCGCAGUGAAGAGGCCCAAGCGACUGUUUAACUAAAACACAGCUCUCUGCGAAGUCGCAAGACGAAGUAUAGGGGGUGACACCUGCCCGGUGCUGGAAGGUUAAGAGGAUCUGUUAAGAGCGAUCUGAAGCAGUGAUCCGAAGCCCCAGUGAACGGCGGCCGUAACUAUAACGGUCCUAAGGUAGCGAAAUUCCUUGUCAGGUAAGUUCUGACCCGCACGAAAGGUGUAACGAUUUGGGCGCUGUCUCGGCAGCAGACUCGGUGAAAUCUUAGUACCUGUGAAAAUGCAGGUUACCCGCAACUAGACGGAAAGACCCCAUGGAGCUUUACUGCAGCCUGAUAUUGAAUUCUGGUCAUACAUGUACAGGAUAGGUGGGAGACAAAGAGACGUGCACGCCAGUGUACGAGGAGUCGGCGUUGGGAUACCACUCUUGUGUGACCGGGGUUCUAACCUGGUAUCGAGAACAGGUACGGGGAGAGUGUCAGGUGGGCAGUUUGACUGGGGCGGUCGCCUCCCAAAGAGUAACGGAGGCGCCCAAAGGUACGCUCAGAUUGGAUGGAAACCAAUCGACGAGUGCAAUUGCAGAAGCGUGCUUGACUGUGAGACUUACAAGUCGAACAGGGACGAAAGUCGGGAAUAGUGAUCCGGCGGUGCCGAAUGGAAGGGCCGUCGCUCAACGGAUAAAAGCUACCCUGGGGAUAACAGGCUGAUCUCGCCCAAGAGUUCACAUCGACGGCGAGGUUUGGCACCUCGAUGUCGGCUCAUCGCAUCCUGGAGCUGGAUUCGGUUCCAAGGGUUGGGCUGUCCGCCCAUUAAAGCGGUACGCGAGCUGGGUUCAGAACGUCGUGAGACAGUUCGGUCCCUAUCUGUUGUGGGCGAAGGAGAUCUGCGGAGAGCUGUCCUCAGUACGAGAGGACCGGGAUGGACCUACCGCUGGUGCACCGGUUGUUCCGCCAGGGGCAUAGCCGGGUAGCUAAGUAGGGAAAGGAUAAGCGCUGAAAGCAUCUAAGCACGAAGCCUACUCCAAGAUGAGAUCUCCCAUUCGCAAGAAGUAAGACCCCUUAAAGACGAUAAGGUAGAUAGGCCAGGGAUGGAAGUGCAGUGAUGUACGGAGUUGACUGGUACUAAUCGGUCGAGGACUUAAUCAG